GACGAACGCUGGCGGCGUGCUUAACACAUGCAAGUCGAACGUGAUUUUCAUGGAAGGACCUUCGGGGACGGAAAUGAAAUGAAAGUGGCGAACGGGUGAGUAACACGUGAGCAACCUACCUUACACAGGGGGAUAGCCGUUGGAAACGACGAUUAAUACCGCAUGAGACCACAGAACCGCAUGGUAAAGGGGUCAAAGAUUUAUCGGUGUAAGAUGGGCUCGCGUCUGAUUAGCUAGUUGGAAGGGUAAAGGCCUACCAAGGCGACGAUCAGUAGCCGGUCUGAGAGGAUGAACGGCCACAUUGGAACUGAGACACGGUCCAAACUCCUACGGGAGGCAGCAGUGGGGAAUAUUGCACAAUGGGGGAAACCCUGAUGCAGCGACGCCGCGUGAGCGAAGAAGGUUUUCGAAUCGUAAAGCUCUGUCCUAUGAGAAGAUAAUGACGGUAUCAUAGGAGGAAGCCCCGGCUAAAUACGUGCCAGCAGCCGCGGUAAUACGUAUGGGGCGAGCGUUGUCCGGAAUUAUUGGGCGUAAAGGGUACGUAGGCGGCCUUUUAAGUCAGGUGUGAAAGCGUGAGGCUUAACCUCAUUAAGCACUUGAAACUGGAAGGCUUGAGUGAAGGAGAGGAAAGUGGAAUUCCUAGUGUAGCGGUGAAAUGCGUAGAUAUUAGGAGGAAUACCGGUGGCGAAGGCGACUUUCUGGACUUUUACUGACGCUCAGGUACGAAAGCGUGGGGAGCAAACAGG
rnacentral:rRNA from 1 species